CCUACGGGGGGCUGCAGUAGGGAAUCUUCCGCAAUGGACGAAAGUCUGACGGAGCAACGCCGCGUGAGGGAAGAAGGUCUUCGGAUUGUAAACCUCUGUCCUCAGGGACGAUAAUGACGGUACCUGAGGAGGAAGCUCCGGUUAACUACGUGCCAGCAGCCGCGGUAAUACGUAGGGAGCAAGCGUUGUCCGGAUUUACUGGGUGUAAAGGGUGCGUAGGCGGUCUUUUAAGUCUGAUGUGAAAUCUUGCGGCUCAACCGCAAGCGGGCAUUGGAAACUGGGAGACUUGAGUGCAGAAGAGGAAAGCGGAAUUCCACGUGUAGCGGUGAAAUGCGUAGAGAUGUGGAGGAACACCAGUGGCGAAGGCGGCUUUCUGGUCUGUAACUGACGCUGAGGCGCGAAAGCGUGGGGAGCAAACAGGAUUAGAUACCCUGGUAGUC
rnacentral:rRNA from 1 species